UCCCAUGUAGCUCAGUCAGGAAAGCAACUGCCUGCAAUGCAGGAGACCUGGGUUCAAUUCCUGGGUCAGGAA
rnacentral:tRNA from 1 species